CCUUGGAUCACAUGAUGCCUUCAGAGGAACACAGACAGACCAAAGACACAUAAAGUCGGCUGGAGCCAGCAGUUUCCAUCCACGCUGAGGGAGCCAGCAGUGAGAUAUUUUUCAACUCCCAUCUUGGACCCAUUCGCUGGCACCACACUCAACGAUUGGCAGCUGUGGCUCCUCUUGGGUCCUACGCCAUGGACCAAGAUGUGGGGGCCGCUAAGCCAUUGCCAGGCCCAGCGAUCGGAGCUGUCGGCUUCCUCCUUCAGUCAAGAACAAGCAGGCCGCUGAGUCAGGUCUACAGAACCGCACAUAAUUCAUCUUAGGAAAUGCAUAUGUGUUGUCAUAUCAUAGGUACUUUUUAUGCGGUGGCAGAAAAUUGCUUUCCUUUUUUGCCUGGCUCUCCCGUCUCCCUCUCUUCCUCCCUACGCUCAUAGUGAUCACAGCAUGCCCCAAACACCCUUGUCAUCACUUCCCGGGACAAGAAACAGAACGGGUUGGGGCCACCCCAGAUGCCCCUUGGGUCCCAUCCCUCCUCAGCCUUUAUCCUGCCUUUCCAUAUGGCCCCUACCCCUGGGUAACCAAAUCAUAGAUGCAGGAAAGCAUCUUUUUUAGUAAAGGGUUCCAAUGAACACAUUUAAAAAAAGAAAUGGUAGGUAACAGGGUGUCUGUUUGGGACGGUACAAAACUUCUGGAAACCCAGAGAGGUGAUGGUUGUACAACAUUGUGCAUGCACUUAAUGGUGCUGAAUAGUACACUUAAAACGGUUAAUUUUAUCUAUGUAUAUUUUAGCACUUCCAGUAGUAAAAAAACAAACAGUAGAAUUAGAGUAUCACUGUCUUGGAGCUCAGAAAUGAAUCCUGUCCCACCUCAACCCUACCCUUCCCUUAAUGCAAAUACUCCCCGAUUUUACCCUGAUCACUUUCUUACUUUUUCAAAGACCUUUAUCAGCCAAAUGGUAUCUUCAGACGUAAGAGUUCAGUGCUGUCUUUUUAAAAAAUGUGAUCGGUCUUCUAAGUCCACAAGGCUCCCCUCAAUUCCUUUCCUCACUUUCAUCUGUUAAAGAAUUCACAUCAUUUGGCCUGUUUCUUAUGGCCUGGAUUUUGUACGGUUCAUGUUCUUCUGGCCUCUGUGUUUCCUGCUAGAUUCCAAAGAUUUCCUGCCAGAUUCGGGGGCUUAAUAAGAGUCAGUUCCUUUGGCAAGACCACAGUGGGGUGGAAUUCUCUCAUCAGGAGGCCCAUAUUGUCUGGCUUCUGCUCUUUUAAAAUUUUUAUAUUUUUGAUAUCCUCAAAUAACGUAUCGAAUCUUACCUCACUGCUUUGCCAUUGUCUAUUAUCGUGUGAAAGUCCCCCUGAGGCUUUGGAGCAAGGCGUGCUCUAGAAUGGUUUGUCUGACUUCACCGAGUUCCCACUUCUGGUAUUUCUGGGUAGGAUUCAAAUACAUGGUAACUUCCUCUCUG